GACUACAUUUCUAUGAAUAUCUCUUUCUUAUAAAAUGCUAGGUAUCUUCUAUAUGAGUGAGUGAGAAACACUUUUUCCAUAAGUAAAAAGUAACAAAUAGCUUGUGUAAGAGUAUAAGGAAGAUCUGAUUAAAGAUUUUUCCUAUGUUGUAAUAUCUUCAUGAGCCUCGACGAAGGAAGGACGGCACAGUAGCCUGAGACAGUGAGUCACAAUAGGCUAAACAGUUCUUCAUAGUUGGAAGAAAAAAUACUGCGGUGUUGAUACAACCAAUAUAGAAAGAAUGUCGAAAGGUUUGAAAGAGAAUGGACUUGAUAAAGAAACACUGGGCGUGAGUAAUAGCAAAAUAUGACACAAAUUCUUUCCUACUUUUACAAUAGCUUGCGGGAAACUCUCGAUUUAUGAAGCUUCGAGGAGAUAAUGCAGUAGCGGUGAGACCAUAAGGUUGUAACAACUGAUGGUCGAUAUGAAGAUGUUUGAAAAAAAAUGUCCUAUGUUAUUUCUUGGCAGCCUGUUAGUAUGGGCAUUACCGGAACCAGCAAUGGUGUCUAGAAAUGGAGAAAUCAAGGAAAAUGCUACAAGUUACCAUGGAAUAAAUAAAAUGAAAUAGAUGGAUUACUAUUUAUAUAUUCAAGUUCAAAUUGUUUGUUAUUAA